GACCUGAUAGCACAGUUGGUAGUGCAUCUACUCAAAAUGCACCAUUGAUAGAAUACUAAGCAGAAGACCCCCGUUCGACUCGGGGUCAGGUCA